UACGUAGGGAGCAAGCGUUGUCCGGAUUUACUGGGUGUAAAGGGUGCGUAGGCGGCUUUGCAAGUCAGAAGUGAAAUCUAUGGGCUUAACCCAUAAACUGCUUUUGAAACUGCAGGGCUUAAGUGAAGUAGAGGUAGGCGGAAUUCCCGGUGUAGCGGUGAAAUGCGUAGAGAUCGGGAGGAACACCAGUGGCGAAGGCGGCCUACUGGGCUUUAACUGACGCUGAGGCACGAAAGCGUGGGUAGCAAACAGG
rnacentral:rRNA from 1 species